GGGGAUGCCAGCAAAAAGCGUCUCCAGAAAAAAACCCCAAAACAUAUGUCUCCCUUCAAAAGAAAAAUCUGCUUUUUCACAGCUACAAAGGAUUGAAAACAAAUUUUGUCAUCAAACGUGGAGCUGUGCCAAAUCACAGGCAGCCAGAAGAAAGCUUUGGCACAAAAAGAGCUUUGAUGGCGAGAGGAACAAAGAUGAAACAGCUUUGAGUGAGAAGAAGGGCAAUGAGAUUGCUCCAGCCCAAAGAGAGAGAAGCUCUGCUCUUCCCUCCCCUGCUCGCUCACAGACCUGUUUGCCUGGGAGCCCUGCUGUGGUCUCUGCUCCAUCCAGAAUGUCCCCUCUGUCCCCCAGGGCAGCCUCAGGACGCUGCAGCCCUGCCAGGAACUGGGCUGUGCAUGGAGAAGGCUCAGCUGGGACAUGGGCACCUGCAAAGAGCUUGGACAGCCCAAGAAGGGACAAUUUCAUGGAGCUGGGAGAUUCAAGAGGAUUCCCAGCACAGAAGGAAAAAUCUCCCUGCUGCCUGCAUGGCCCACCUCGCUGCCCUGCAGGGAGCAGCUCCUUCCCUGUCACUCCUGUGCCCACGGCUCUCCUGCCUCCCACAUCCCACCUUUCAGCAGCCAGCAAGGCCAGAGAUCACAGGCUGGAGGAGCUGUGGGGAAAAUCACCCCAAAAUAAGUUAGAGCAACUCAAGAAGAGGAUCCAGGAGCAGAAGAGAAAGCAGCAAGCAGCUCCCCGGGAGCAGGAGUGCCUGGUUUUUGCUAAAGACCCCCUGCCAAAGAGAGCCCUGAAAAGAAAGGUUUGCAGAGUGGCCUCUGCUCCUCCUGCUCCAGCUCACAGAGACCAAAGAGAGAGAAGCUCAGCAUGGAGAAUUCAAACAGAACACCAGAGGCAGCUUUCAUCCAAGGCCUGUGUUCUGGAGAGAGCAGUGGCAGGGAAAGGUGUGAAUCUACCUGGUGUUUCAGCAUGGAGGGAAGGUCAGAAGUUGGCUAGAAGGCUGCUGGGUCCACCCCCUCCACUUCCACAUUUGAGGAGCAGAACUGGAGAGCAGAGCACAGCAAAGACCUCUGCAUCUUUGGAAGGAGGUCGAGGUCUUGGGGCAAUGCCAGUGAUGGAAAGCAGCUCCAGAGUGAAGGGAACUGAGGCUGUGGGGAGGAGCCCUGGAGCCCAAAGCGCUGUGGUUGCUCCCAGCAAGGCUGAAAGGGGCAGCAAUGCACCCACAGAGGACACAAACCAAGCACUCAGGAACCUUCUCUUGCAAAGGCAGCCCUGCGAGGAACACAGACAUAUCAGGCUCCCCAGAGAUGCUGGGAAACACCAAUCCCAAGGGAUCCAUUCUCCUUCCCCUGGACUUUCAUUAACAAAAGAUGGAGCCAAGCCCAGCACCUCGGGAAGCUGCAGCAGAGGGAAAAGUGCAUCUCCUCAGAGACAGAAAGGGUCUGAGAAAGAAAACCUUAAGCAAUCUUCAAAGAGAAGGGCAAGCCUUAAAAAACCUCACCCCUACAGCCCUG
rnacentral:lncRNA from 1 species